AAUGAACGUUGGCGGCGUGGAUUAGGCAUGCAAGUCGAGCGUACCUAGCAAUAGGGAAGCGGCAAACGGGGUAGUAAGGCGUCGGUACGUGCCUCCUGGACGGGGACAGCCACGGGAAACUGUGGGUAAUACCCGAUGAUGUCGGAAGACCAAAGGUGUGAUUCCGCCGGGAGAGCGGCUGACGUGGUAUUAGGUAGUUGGUAAGGUAAUGGCUUACCAAGCCUGGGAUGCCUAGGGGGUGUGAGAGCAUGGCCCCCACCAUUGGGACUGAGACACUGCCCAGACACCUACGGGUGGCUGCAGUCGAGAAUCUUCGGCAAUGGGCGCAAGCCUGACCGAGCGACGCCGCGUGCGGGAUGAAGGCCCUCGGGUUGUAAACCGCUGUCAGGGGGGAUGAAAUGCAUCGGGGUUCUCCCCGGUGUUUGACAGAGCCCCAGAGGAAGCACGGGCUAAGUUCGUGCCAGCCGCCGCGGUAAUAC
rnacentral:rRNA from 1 species